GAUUCUGGUUCAGGAUGAACGCUAGCUACAGGCUUAACACAUGCAAGUCGAGGGGUAGCAGGGUAGCAAUACCGCUGACGACCGGCGCACGGGUGAGUAACACGUAUCCAACCUUCCCAUAACUCAGGGAUAGCCUUUCGAAAGAAAGAUUAAUACCUGAUAGUACUUUUUCAAGGCAUCUUGAGAAAGUUAAAGAUUUAUUGGUUAUGGAUGGGGAUGCGUUCCAUUAGAUAGUUGGUGAGGUAACGGCUCACCAAGUCUUCGAUGGAUAGGGGUUCUGAGAGGAAGGUCCCCCACAUUGGUACUGAGACACGGACCAAACUCCUACGGGAGGCAGCAGUGAGAAAUAUUGGUCAAUGGGCGAGAGCCUGAACCAGCCAAGUAGCGUGAAGGAAUGAAGGUCCUAUGGAUUGUAAACUUCUUUUAUAGUAGAAUAAAGUGAUCCACGUGUGGAUUUUUGUAUGUAUACUAUGAAUAAGGAUCGGCUAACUCCGUGCCAGCCGCCGC
rnacentral:rRNA from 1 species